UACGUAGGGUGCAAGCGUUGUCCGGAAUCAUUGGGCGUAAAGGGCGUGUAGGCGGUUUGCUAAGUCAUGUGUGAAAUCCCUCGGCUUAACCGGGGAACGACGCACGAAACUGGCAAGCUAGAGUACCAAAGAGGGGGGUGGAAUUCCCGGUGUAGCGGUGAAAUGCGUAGAUAUCUGGAGGAACACCGGUGGCGAAGGCGGCAUCCUGGACCGACACUGACACUGAGGAGCGAAAGCCAGGGGAGCAAACGGG
rnacentral:rRNA from 1 species